rnacentral:rRNA from 1 species
UACGUAGGGUGCAAGCGUUAUUCGGAAUUACUGGGCGUAAAGCGUGCGCAGGCGGUUAUGUAAGUCAGAUGUGAAAUCCCCGGGCUCAACCUGGGAACUGCAUUUGUGACUGUAUGGCUAGAGUACGGUAGAGGGGGAUGGAAUUCCGCGUGUAGCAGUGAAAUGCGUAGAUAUGCGGAGGAACACCGAUGGCGAAGGCAAUCCCCUGGACCUGUACUGACGCUCAUGCACGAAAGCGUGGGGAGCAAACAGG